CUCGCGCUCUCCCCUCUCCAUGUUUGGCAUGAGGGCUUGGAGGGGAGGGGGCGAAAUGGGCGCGAAUUCGCCACCAUUCCCUCACAUUGACUUUUUUUCUUUUUUUGACUGAGAGAAAUAUAAUAACACUGAAAGUUUCCCUCCCAUCUGGGUUUCGUGAGGAAAACAUGCCUCUGAAUGCCGGCUGCUGGGGCCCACGCAGGUGUGGAGCAGUGGCAUAGCAAGACUAAACAUACUCAGCUCCUUCAACCGUUCCUCAUAAGGCUUGUUUUCCAAGCUUGUCUCUACUUUCAUGAGCAUGCCCUCUUCAAAAUUACCAAGACAACAGUUCAACAAUUAAAACCCAUCAUCCUUGACAUGCUAGCUGAGGCCGAAAAGAGUUGGAAGCCAACAACCCCUGGAGAAACACAGCUUUCCUUAUCCCUGCAUUAAAGCAACAUUUCAUAGCCUUGUAAAUAGAAUUAUGAAGCAUAUUAGACCACUUAUGUUUUUACAAGGUCAGUUAUUCAUACACCUAUUUCAUUCAUUUGUGAUACAGUUGAGUGAUACAAUUGUAUCCCAGUUAGCAGAAUCUCAGUUUGGUUGCCUGGAGACAACUCUGGCUACCGCAUCAUAAGUACCCUAAAACCUGAGAUUCAAUAGGUAGGACUUGGUGAUGUCACAAUAACAGGACUUGUGAUGACACAUAGUGCCAACUAUAUUUUUUCUCUCCUUUUUAUACUCAUACUUGACAUUGCUUAGGAAACCUAGUAGCAUAUUGUGUAUUAUUAUAGUGAUGUUUCCCCCCUAAUUAGAUAACUUUAAAAUGCAGUAUGUAACAUAUGUAGAUUUCUUUCCCUAGGAGUUAAUGUUUUCUAUACAGGCAAGCAGAGAGGCAAGUAUUUAAGUAUUUACAUCUCAUGGGUAAAUGGGAGUGAAUGUGCAUUUGCACAAUCUGUGGCUUGUGUCCUUAAGUCUUUUUUUUUAGUGCAACAUCUUAUUCCUGUGCACAGCAUUAGAAAUCAAUAUCUAAUAUUUCUAAAUAUGAAUACAAAAGUCUAGCAAGCAAACAAGCACUUGGCACCGGCCUUCCUGUAAGACGUUAAAUCACCAGGUGACGUACAGACUGUGGGUUUGGUGACGUCACUCUGUGUUGCCAGUGUAAAUGUUUAUGUGCUGUUACUCUGGUUUCAACAAUAGAAAGAGGAAGAAAUCAAUAUUUAUUUGAAUUGCAGGUUCUACUCACUAUUAUGGCUUGGGCUGAGCUUGUCAGAUACAGGAGUUGCUUUUGGUUCUUUUGCUCCCAGGCUCCAUGGAAUAAGGACGUAAAUGAAGCUCUCCAGGAAAACAGCUCCAGGCAAAAUGGAUGCUAUAGGAGAGAGACCUUUGCUUAUACAGUAGAUCUGUUUGGGUUAUUUCAUAUUUUGUAAGGUGCUGAGCCUAUGCCUUGGACUGGCAUAUGUCUUGUGGAGCUGUUUAGAUGACUCAUUUGAUGUUUUCACUCUGUUAUGAAGAAAGUUCUGCAAGUAAAGUUUUGAAUAAUA